rnacentral:sRNA from 1 species
GAGAUGCAAUGACAUAAUUCUGUUAAACAACAAACAGCAAGCUUUCCCUCAGUCUUAUUCCUUACCACAAUGCUCACACACAAUUUUAGAUAUGAUCCUAAAUUCUUGCCGGUUUUCCUAGACAUGGCUCCUGCUCAAACUUAUUUCAUACUAGCCUUUCAUUUCAAACUAUAUUAUUUUAUUCUUUCUGCAACUAGUUCUGUGGUACGAUUGAAGCAGGGAUUUCAUUUACCUUUGCAUCUUGUAUCCUGACAGCUUUUUGCUGGAGUGGGUGAUGGUAGUACAGUACGGCUUCUUCAUGCGUGAAGAACUCCUGUGAAGGACUGAAACUCUGCAAAGGACGAGGCUUAGUGGAGGGGGGUUGGAUCGGAGGCGUGCGACUGAUGCCAGAAAUUCUGAUCGAGUCAGAUGAUCAUAUUACUAGUAUAGCUGGCUAAACAGACGAACAGUACAGUGUUUUCGCGUCCAUGAUCUUUGAUCGAUGAGAGCAAUAGCAUCAUCGUGUUCUUCGCCGGCACGUGGUAAUGGGCAGAAUCUCCUGAAAAAGUUGCCAUGCUCAUGCACAGGUAAGAAUAGGAUUGAAAGGAAUUCACAGUGGAAAAGAGUGUUUUUGAGCCAUGUGAUGUGUUUGUUCUCCCCUUUCCAGCUUGGUUUACACCUGUGGUGAAUGAAUGUUCGAUAGCAGUAUUACCAUCAUGCAAGUUCCAUUGAAAGAAAUCACCCAAGAACCCGGACAGAACAUUCAUAAUGCUCAAGAACAGCCCUGGUGCCUGAAUUCUUGAUUCAUACGCCUAUUUGAAGUUUUUCGGAUUCUCGUAGAAUUUAAGUUGUUUGCUUUG